rnacentral:rRNA from 1 species
GACGAACGCUGGCGGCGUGCUUCAUACAUGCAAGUCGAACGAGAAGCUGACUUCGGUCAGUGGAAAGUGGCGGACGGGUGAGUAAUAUGUAGGAAAUCUGCCUUUAGGAGGGGGACAACAGAGGGAAACUUCUGCUAAUACCCCAUAUGAGCGUAGCUGAAAUGCUAUUCUUGAAAACUCCGGUGCCUAAAGAUGAGCCUGCAUCUGAUUAGCUAGUUGGUAGUGUAAUGGACUACCAAGGCGACGAUCAGUAGCUGGUUUGAGAGGAUGAUCAGCCACAAUGGGACGGAGACACGGCCCAUACUCCUACGGGAGGCAGCAGUAGGGAAUUUUGCGCAAUGGGCGAAAGCCGGACGCAGCAACGCCGCGUGAACGAUUAAGCCCUUCGGGGUGUAAAGUUCUGUCAGUGGGGACGAAACUUGACGGUACCCACAGAGGAAGCACCGGCUAACUCCGUG